CCUACGGGAGGCAGCAGUGAGGAAUAUUGGUCAAUGGGCUUACGCCUGAACCAGCCAAGCCGCGUGAAGGAAGACUGCCCUAUGGGUUGUAAACCUCUUUUGUCAGGGAGCAACGCCGGCUACGUGUAGCCGGACUGAGAGUACCUGAAGAAAAAGCAUCGGUUAACUCCGGGCCAGCAGCCGCGGAAAUACGGAGGAUGCGAGUGUUAUCGGGAUUUAUUGGGUUUAAAGGGUGCGUAGGCGGAAUGCCAAGUCAGCGGUAAAACCGGGGGGUCAAACCCCGCAUCGCCUUUGAUACUGGCGUUCUUGAGAGUACGAGAAGUAGGCGGAAUGUGUGGUGUAGCGGUGAAAUGCAUAGAGAUCAUGCAGAACUCCGAUUGCGAAGGCAGCAUACC
rnacentral:rRNA from 1 species